ensembl:misc_RNA Metazoa_SRP Metazoan signal recognition particle RNA
GCCGGGCACGGUGGCUCAUGCCUGUAAUCCCAGCACUUUGGGAGGCUGAGGUGGGUGGAUCACCUGAGGUCAGGAGUUUGAGACAAGCCUGACCAACAUGGAGAAACCCCAUCUCUA